CCGGGUGGCCCAUGCACCCAGGGCCAUCCGGUGAGCCUUUUUCUCAUCAGGUGCUCGGUUGUGCUCUGUGACCGUUUAACAGCCCCUUGCUAUUCGGCAGAAUGGGAGGAAGUAACUCACGGUUGUCACAGACAAAACAGAGCCGUGUGGGAGGGAGGGCCAAGGAGUGAGGAGGGGGAUGGAGAGCAAGACCCCAACUCCCAAAAGCCUUAAGGACCACACUGGACCCCAGGGAAGCCACCCUCCGGCAAAAGGAAAUUAUUCUUCUUUGUCAAUGUGGCCUUCACAUUAUCUCCAGUUCACUAAGGAAUAAAAAAACGAACCACAGAGAGGGAUCAUGAUCUGCCUGUUAGAGAAAAAAGUCCUGAGGAAGUGUGACUAAGGAAGGACUCCAAGCAGUGGUUGAGCACUUAUACAAUAACGAAACCAGAUGGAGGGACACAUACUGAUGGUCGUUGGUGGCAGCUAAGUGCAUUUAGUUUUGCAUUUGAUAAGGGAUCUGGCUUCCUUUUGACGUAAUGAAUAUAAUAAACCAACAGACAUAUUCUCCAGAUUUCAGACUGUUUGCUCUCAACACUGGGAUUUUUCCAUUGCUUCAGCCAUGAGUGAAUAGUUACCGUCUGAAGGAUAUAAUACAGAGCUGAGUUUAAAUAAAAUGAAAUUGAUACAGAAACACAAUAACCAUUCAGUUUGCAAGAGCCAAA